GCACUACGGUGCUGAAGUAACAAAUGCCCUGCUUCCAGGAAAAGCCUCUAAGCAUCAGGUAACAUCAAAUCGUACCCCAAACCGACACAGGUGGUCAGGUAGAGAAUACCAAGGCGCUUGAGAGAACUCGGGUGAAGGAACUAGGCAAAAUGGUGCCGUAACUUCGGGAGAAGGCACGCUGGUGUGUAGGUGAAGCCCCUGCGGGUGGAGCUGAGACCAGUCGAAGAUACCAGCUGGCUGCAACUGUUUAUUAAAAACACAGCACUGUGCAAACACGAAAGUGGACGUAUACGGUGUGACGCCUGCCCGGUGCCGGAAGGUUAAUUGAUGGGGUUAUCC
rnacentral:rRNA from 1 species